GACGAACGCUGGCGGCGUGCUUAACACAUGCAAGUCGAACGGAGUGGCGAACGGGUGCGUAACACGUGGGUGCUCUGCCUUGCCCUUCGGGUUAAGCUUGGGAAACUGUGUCUAAUACCGGCUAGUGCAAGAUUAGCUCGGGGCCUAUCAGCUGGUUGGGGGGGUAAUGGCCUACCAAGGCGUCGACGGGUAGCCGGCCUGAGAGGGUGUACGGCCACAUUGGGACUGAGAUACGGCGCAGAAUCCUACGGGAGGCAGCAGUGGGGAAUAUUGCACAAUGGGCGGAAGCCUGAGGCAGCGACGCCGCGUGGGGGAUGAAGUCCUUCGGGUUGGAAACUCCUUUCGACAGGGACGCGGUACCUGUAUAAGAAGCACCGGCUAACUACGUGCCAGCAGCCGCGGUAAUAC
rnacentral:rRNA from 1 species